UUUUUUUCCAUUUUAUGUUAGAUUUUUGUUUUAAAUUUCUUUUUAAGAUUAACUUCAUGUUUCUUCACUUAACCUCAUGUAAGUAAGACUGUCUAAAAAUUUGAUUCCAUGAGUGGUACUCAGACAUUGGUCUUUGAAUGAAGCUUGCAAUAAUCUCCUGGUUAACUGAAAACACAAAUUGCAGUCUCACUUCGAAACUGAAUGAUGCAUACAUAUUACAUAUAUAAAGACUGUUUCUGGGGUUACUGGUUAUUGCCCUGCUUGUUACAGUCCCUUAUUGUGUUUAUAUAAUUCACUAAUUUCUCUUAUAAAAAUGUGGACCCUAGUGCUUCACAUAUGCUAUAUGUAUGCAUUGUUCAUUGUUUCAGCAUUUAGCGUCACGUUGAAACUGGCAACAAAAAAAUAACAAACAAAAUAUUAAAGAAGCAAAUUUGUUCAAGCAUAAUCUUUUUCUUUCUCUCUUUCUUCCACUUCUAUUGAACAUGCCAAAUAUUAAAAAAACAACUCUUUGGUGUUUAAAACAAGAAACACUGUUUUUGUGACUGUUCUAAAGCCUGAGCUGGAUUAUGUACAUUAAAUAAAAAUAAAAUUCAUCAAGAUUUUCUAGUUUGUAUGAGACUUCAUUGAGUUUCUGAAAUUUUUUCAAUUUUAUGCUCCAGACUAGUGGCAAGAGCACUAAAUUAUUUAUGUAACUACACUUGAACCACUGAGACAUGAUCUGACACCAUUCUCUCUUUUUACUUAGAAAUAUAAUAAACACAAUAGUGAAUUAAUAAAGGAAAUUUCACAGAAGUUAAUUCAUCGCAGACAGAACCAAUUACCACAAAAUAACCAAGACUGUAUGGCAGUGUAGAACAGCUAAAAAGUAAACAGCACAUUUUUUUCUAUGGGACAGGUUGUGGUGACUAAGUGGUAAAGCACUUGGUUUUCAAACUGAGGGGUCUCGAGUUUGAAUCCGAGUGAUGACUGGGUUUUUAAUUUCAGGAUUUUAAGGGCGCUCCUGAGUCCACAAAACUGUAAUGGGUACCUGGUAAUAGUUGGGGACAUGUAAAGGCCAUUGGUCAUUGUGCUGGCCACAUGAUACACAAGACAGUCUUUGGUCUAGUUUUACACCAAGAUAUGUUGGAUUUUCUUCUUUAUUUAUUGGCUGAGAGUCUAUUUUUAGGAUGUAGUUUCUUUUUGCUGUUUUGUUGCUGUGGCUAAAGAUUGAAUAAACUGACUUUUCUUUGUUUAUUUCCAUUUUCCAUAAUUUUGAAUAUGUGGAGAUAGUUGUGAGGGCUCUAUUUAAUUUGGAUCUAGUCAGCACUGUAUAUUUCUCUGUAGUCCAAAUUAAAAGGUCGUCUGCGUAAAGUGCCUUAUUGACCGAAAUGAGGUCCGGGAGGUCAUUCAUGAAGAUUAGAAAGAGAGUGCAGCUAAGGGCUGAACCUUGUGGUAGUCCUUCUUCCAAACCUUUUUACUAGAGAUGGCACCUUCGAAUCGGGUUUGGAUGGUUCUGUUUUUUAAGAAUGCCCUGAUCCAGCUGUACAUUUUUCCAUGGAUGCCCAUUUUUUUCAUCUUCAAAAAUAGACCUUCUCUCCACACUCUAUCAUAGGCUUGCUGCAAAUCUAUAAAUACUGCUGUAGUGUGCUUGUUUUCAUGAAACCCUUCUACUGUGUCCUGGAUAAAACGAAAGAGGUGGUCUUCUGUUCUACUUGCUUUCCUGAAGCCAGCUUGUGCAUUGUGGAGUGAGCAAGUACUUUCUAGCCACCAAUAAAGUUGGUUAUUUAUCAUUUUUUCUGCCAUUUUGCCAAUGUUGGAUGUUAGAGAUAUUGGUCUAUAACUUUUUGAGUCUCCAGUGGUUUAUUUUUCUUUAAAAUGGGUAUUAUGUUUGCGGUUCUCCAUUCCUGUAGUAUGUCUCCAGUUUUCCAUGUAUGGUUGAUAAAGUUAAGUAUACAGUUUUGGGCCUGUGGUCCUAAUCUAGUUGUUCGCAUGUUGUGGUCCACUUUUUCUUUUUUUCUGUUUUAAUUUUGUAUCUUAUAAGUCCUGUCAAUUUGUUGUACGUUGUCUUGUUCUCUCUAGUAGGUUUUUUUUCUAUAGUCUUCCUGGCCAUGUUUCUUUCUUUUACUAAUUUGUCUAAUUCAGGUGUCCAAAAAGGUUUGUAUUUCUUAACUUGGCCUCGAGGGAUGUGUUUUUUUGCUGCUUGUAAGAUGUUGGAGACUGUAGUUGUGUAGGUUGAUUUGACGUCUGUCUCAAUUAUGCUUGAUAGUCUUGUGUCUGCUUCUUGUGAAAAAGCUGCCCAGUUAGCUUUUUUAUAGUUCCAUCUAGUUGUUUUGUUGGAUUGGUAUCUACCUGGCGUUCCAAUAUUGAGGAGUAUAGGCCUGUGGUCACUACCUAUGUCUUCAAGUACUGUUGUUUUAGAAGAGUCGGUAAUGUCUGUAGAGAUAAAAGUUAGGUCAGGUCUGCUAGUUGUGUUGUGUGCUCUGUGGAGGAAAGUUGGAGGUGAAGUUUUGUUUCGCAGAAGUUGGAGGUUAGAGGCAUUUGUUACAUCCUAUAUUUCUUUGCCACGCUUGUUGUAGUGUGGGUAGCCUAGGGAAGGUGUGUGUGCUUUGAAGUCGCCAGCUAUUAUUGUCCUUGUGUAGUGUGGUAGUUGUAUGUCUAUUUCUGCUGUUGAUGAUGGUGGGCAAUAGUAGUUUUUGAUGGUGUACUUUGUUCCUCCUCUCCAAAGAAGUAUUUCCUGCGUGUCGAUGUCUGUAUUGUUCUGUAUUUGUUUUACUAUGGCUUGUGUGUCGUUUCUUAUGAGGGUCAUAAUUCCCUGGCAUUUGGUGCAAAGGCAUCUGUACUGUGUGUAGCCUGUGAUGUUUAUUUUUUUCUUGGGCAGUAGUGUUUCUUGCAAUAGCGCUAUGUGUAUAUCAUGCUUCUUGAGUAUGUGUUGGAGUUCUGUUGUCUUGUUUUGUAGGCCUAAGAUGUUUAGUUGCAAAAGGUUUAGGUGUUUGCUGCUAGUCUGUUUUUUAUUUCCAGUAGCAGACUUAUCACAGGCACACGCUAGUCAUCAACAUUUAGUUUGUUCUAUUCUGCUAGACAUAGACCACUGUCUUUUAGGUCUUGUUGCUUAGUUUAGCUUGAAUUUUCCAUUGUCCUCUCUCUAUGUCUCUCUUGUUUUUUCCUUCUGUCCCUCUUUC